AGGGACUUAGGAUAACUUAGACCAAGGGCCUUCAAAGCCCUAAGCAGGAGUUAAAAUCUCCUAGUCCCUG
rnacentral:tRNA from 1 species